AAAUUAAAAGUGAUAUAUUAUAUUAGCUUGAGCUUUUACUUGUUUACUUUUAUGCUCAAUAUUUUAUCAUCAUCAAAAAGAAAAAGAUUGUUGACCCAAAGAAUGAUUUUAAUGAUUACAUAAUAUUAAAAUAUAAAAGAAGACUAAUGUUUUUGAAGCUUGGUUAAAGAAUGUUUUAGUAGGAAGCAAACUCAUGUGAUAUGCUUUGAUGUCAUUUAGAAAUACUUGGAAUGCUUUGAAUGAGAAAGGC
rnacentral:lncRNA from 1 species